GAUGAACGCUGGCGGCGUGCCUAAUACAUGCAAGUCGAGCGAACGGACGAGAAGCUUGCUUCUCUGAUGUUAGCGGCGGACGGGUGAGUAACACGUGGAUAACCUACCUAUAAGACUGGGAUAACUUCGGGAAACCGGAGCUAAUACCGGAUAAUAUUUUGAACCGCAUGGUUCAAAAGUGAAAGACGGUCUUGCUGUCACUUAUAGAUGGAUCCGCGCUGCAUUAGCUAGUUGGUAAGGUAACGGCUUACCAAGGCAACGAUGCAUAGCCGACCUGAGAGGGUGAUCGGCCACACUGGAACUGAGACACGGUCCAGACUCCUACGGGAGGCAGCAGUAGGGAAUCUUCCGCAAUGGGCGAAAGCCUGACGGAGCAACGCCGCGUGAGUGAUGAAGGUCUUCGGAUCGGAAAACUCUGUUAUUAGGGAAGAAAAUAUGUGUAAGUAACUGUGCACAUCUUGACGGUACCUAAUCAGAAAGCCACGGCUAACGACG
rnacentral:rRNA from 1 species